rnacentral:rRNA from 1 species
AACGAACGCUGGCGGCGUGCCUAACACAUGCAAGUCGAACGAGAAAGGGGCUUCGGCUCCGAGUAAAGUGGCGCACGGGUGAGUAACACGUAGGUAACCUGCCUCUAAGAUUGGGAUAACCUGUCGAAAGACGAGCUAAUACCAAAUAAGACCACGGUCUCUUCGGGGACAGAGGUCAAAGGUAGCCUCUAUUUAUAAGCUAUCGCUGAGAGAUGGGCCUGCGUACCAUUAGCUAGUUGGUGAGGUAACGGCUCACCAAGGCAAAGAUGGUUAGCUGGUCUGAGAGGAUGAUCAGCCACACUGGAACUGAGACACGGUCCAGACUCCUACGGGAGGCAGCAGUGGGGAAUAUUGCGCAAUGGGCGAAAGCCUGACGCAGCAACGCCGCGUGAGUGAUGAAGGCCUUCGGGUCGUAAAGCUCUGUCGGAGGGAACGAAUGCUCUUGAGGUUAACAGCCUCGGGAGGUGACGGUACCCUCAAAGGAAGCACCGGCUAACUCUGUGCCAGCCGCCGCCGUAAUAC